UCCGAGUUGACCCCGGCAGUAUCCCAUGAGUUCCCACCAUAACGUGCUGGCAACAUAGAACGAGGGUUGCGCUCGUUGCGGGACUUAACCCAACAUCUCACGACACGAGCUGACGACAACCAUGCACCACCUGUACACCGACCAAAAAGGGGCGACUAUCUCUAGCCGUUUCCGGUGUAUGUCAAGCCUUGGUAAGGUUCUUCGCGUUGCAUCGAAUUAAUCCGCAUGCUCCGCCGCUUGUGCGGGUCCCCGUCAAUUCCUUUGAGUUUUAGCCUUGCGGCCGUACUCCCCAGGCGGGGCACUUAGUGCGUUAGCGACGGCACGGGAGGAGUCGACACCUCCCACACCUAGUGCCCAUCGUUUACGGCGUGGACUAC
rnacentral:misc_RNA from 1 species